UUAAUAUUUUAAUAUUCGUUAUAUUGAAUUUGAAUCAUUUUUCAGAAAUCAUUAUAGAAUGGCUAAUUAUCCAACGUUAAUUGGGGACAUAGCGGUGGAAAAAGUGAGAACUGGCGAGAAGGUGAAGUUUUCAGAUUUAUGGAGGACCAGUCCUUGUGUUAUUGUUUGGUUCAGGAGGUUUGGAUGACCUUAUUGUAGAGUAGCUGCCGCUGAAAUCUCCAAGAUACAAGCGCAGCUACACAACAACAACAUUAAGCUUAUCGGGGUGGGGGUAGAAAAAUUAGGGCUUCAGGAUUUUGUUGAGAAAGGAUAUUUUACAGGGGAGCUUUUCAUUGAUGAAUCAAAGGCUUCAUACAGAGCAAUGGGCUUUGCAAGUAUGGAAUACUCCGAACUACUGGGUCGAUCUUUUUUCUCAACUCAAGCUGUCACAUCAAUUUACAAGAAUAUAUCCGAG